rnacentral:rRNA from 1 species
GACGAACGCUGGCGGCGUGCUUAACACAUGCAAGUCGAACGAUGAAACCUAGCUUGCUAGGUCGAUUAGUGGCGAACGGGUGAGUAACACGUGACUAACCUGCCCCUUUCUCUGGGAUAACGCUCCGAAAGGAGUGCUAAUACCGGAUACUCACACCGAGGCACAUGCCUUGGCGUGGCAAGUUUUUCGGAAAGGGAUGGGGUCGCGGCCUAUCAGCUUGUUGGUGAGGUAACGGCUCACCAAGGCGACGACGGGUAGCCGGCCUGAGAGGGCGACCGGCCACACUGGGACUGAGACACGGCCCAGACUCCUACGGGAGGCAGCAGUGGGGAAUAUUGCACAAUGGGCGCAAGCCUGAUGCAGCGACGCCGCGUGAGGGAUGAAGGUCUUCGGAUUGUAAACCUCUUUCAGUAGGGACGAAGCGAAAGUGACGGUACCUAAAGAAGAAGCACCGGCUAACUACGUGCCAGCCGCCGCGGUAA